rnacentral:rRNA from 1 species
GGAGGAAAGCAGGGGAUCGCAAGACCUUGCGCUUUUGGAGCGGCCGAUGCCUGAUUAGCUUGUUGGUGAGGUAAAAGCUCACCAAGGCUUCGAUCAGUAGCUGGUCUGAGAGGACGACCAGCCACACUGGGACUGAGACACGGCCCAGACUCCUACGGGAGGCAGCAGUGGGGAAUUUUGGACAAUGGGGGCAACCCUGAUCCAGCCAUGCCGCGUGAGUGAAGAAGGCCUUCGGGUUGUAAAGCUCUUUCAGCCGGAACGAAACGGUUACGGUUAAUACCCGUGACUACUGACGGUACCGGAAGAAGAAGCACCGGCUAACUACGUGCCAGCAGCCGCGGUAAUACGUAGGGUGCGAGCGUUAAUCGGAAUUACUGGGCGUAAAGCGUGCGCAGGUGGUUUUGUAAGUCAGAUGUGAAAUCCCCCCGGCUUAACCUGGGAACUGCGUUUGAAACUACAAAGCUAGA